ACGAACGCUGGCGGCACGCUUAACACAUGCAAGUCGAACGAGAGAAGAGGAGCUUGCUUUUCUGAUCUAGUGGCGGACGGGUGAGUAACACGUGAGCAAUCUGCCUUUCAGAGGGGGAUACCGAUUGGAAACGAUCGUUAAUACCGCAUAAUAUAAUUGAACCGCAUGAUUUGAUUAUCAAAGAUUUAUCGCUGAAAGAUGAGCUCGCGUCUGAUUAGCUAGUUGGUAAGGUAACGGCUUACCAAGGCGACGAUCAGUAGCCGGACUGAGAGGUUGAUCGGCCACAUUGGGACUGAGACACGGCCCAGACUCCUACGGGAGGCAGCAGUGGGGAAUAUUGCACAAUGGAGGAAACUCUGAUGCAGCGAUGCCGCGUGAGGGAAGAAGGUUUUAGGAUUGUAAACCUCUGUCUUCAGGGACGAAAAAAGACGGUACCUGAGGAGGAAGCUCCGGCUAACUACGUGCCAGCAGCCGCGGUAAUACGUAGGGAGCGAGCGUUGUCCGGAAUUACUGGGUGUAAAGGGAGCGUAGGCGGGAUCGCAAGUCAGAUGUGAAAACUAUGGGCUUAACCCAUAAACUGCAUUUGAAACUGUGGUUCUUGAGUGAAGUAGAGGUAAGCGGAAUUCCUAGUGUAGCGGUGAAAUGCGUAGAUAUUAGGAGGAACAUCAGUGGCGAAGGCGGCUUACUGGGCUUUAACUGACGCUGAGGCUCGAAAGCGUGGGGAGCAAACAGGAUUAGAUACCCUGGUAGUCCACGCCGUAAACGAUGAUUACUAGGUGUGGGGGGACUGACCCCUUCCGUGCCGCAGCAAACGCAAUAAGUAAUCCACCUGGGGAGUACGACCGCAAGGUUGAAACUCAAAGGAAUUGACGGGGGCCCGCACAAGCAGUGGAGUAUGUGGAUUAAUUCGAAGCAACGCGAAGAACCUUACCAGGUCUUGACAUCGUAUGCAUAGCUCAGAGAUGAGUGAAAUCUCUUCGGAGACAUAUAGACAGGUGGUGCAUGGUUGUCGUCAGCUCGUGUCGUGAGAUGUUGGGUUAAGUCCCGCAACGAGCGCAACCCUUACUGUUAGUUGCUACGCAAGAGCACUCUAGCAGGACUGCCGUUGACAAAACGGAGGAAGGUGGGGAUGACGUCAAAUCAUCAUGCCCCUUAUGACCUGGGCCUCACACGUACUACAAUGGCUGUUAACAGAGGGAUGCAAAGCCGCGAGGUGGAGCGAACCCCUAAAAGCAGUCUUAGUUCGGAUUGUAGGCUGCAACCCGCCUACAUGAAGUCGGAAUUGCUAGUAAUCGCAGAUCAGCAUGCUGCGGUGAAUACGUUCCCGGGCCUUGUACACACCGCCCGUCACGCCAUGGGAGUCGGUAACACCCGAAGCCUGUAGUCUAACCGCAAGGAGGACGCAGUCGAAGGUGGGAUUGAUGACUGGGGUG
rnacentral:rRNA from 1 species